UGCAAUGAUGGUUUAUAUCUCGUUAAUCUGAAGUUCCAAUGAGGACUCUAUACUUCUUCCAUUCUUAAUAAGAUUCUGAGC
rnacentral:snoRNA from 1 species